CAGACAGUAAGGGCUACAUGGUCUUGCUGAGCUGUCCACCCAGCAAUUAGAGGGGCAUGAGAAGCUGCACAGUGACAACCACAAGGAAGUCAUCAGCAUGAGUCAUCUGCAAAUAUAGCCAACUCCAUGUCAUCUCCUUGCUUCAGCAGGUGGAUCAUUUAUAUUUUCCCUGGAAGCCAUCCGCUGGUCUAAAUGCUGGGGUUGAUUUGUUUUCCUGUUGCAGGGGAGAAGGUGGUUUUCCCAGAAGGAACUAGAAUAUGCCUGGCUCUGGCAGAGUUCCAGACACAAGAGAAAGACAGGGAGUUUUUGAAGUUCUCUCUCUCCUUCUGUGCAAAUUAAAGGUCCACUCAUCUUUCCAACCCUCCGACCCUGAGAGAAACACACAGCUCAGGAGUGCCAAGCAUCUCUGCACCAUUCAGUCGUGAUGUAAAUCAGGAAAAUCAAGACCCUGUUCUAAGACUUCAGUGUAGCUGAAUCAGCUGCUACAUCGGAUGAAGCAAAAGCCUGCCAUGGACUAGCUAACUGUCUACUCUGUGUCCACUGAUGGAUUCUAGCGAGAUUUAAUCAUACCUUGUGCUUCUGGCUCAGCACUCAAGUUGCUCAGGAAACGCCAGUCCUUGGACUAAUGGAAUUCACAAUCUUACCAGGACAAAGUGUUUAUUUAUAAUAAAAAGAGAAAUUUUCUAAUAAAGAGAGGCAGAUGUUAACCAUCUUGAUUCAUUUCAAAUGUGCUUGGACUAAUUCAACAAGCUUCAAAUGGAGGAUCAGAGGGCAAGCCCUGUUUUGCUUAUACCCUUCAGGGUCACAUUAAAUCCAUGUUGUGUUUUCUGCAAGAUUAGAAACAGACAGCUAAAUGAACUCAACAGCUCUGAGAUGCAACUUUUCUGCCUUGAAUAGAAAAUCCCACAGUUUGGUUUUCAUGCUUAUGAGGAAAAGUUCUUAUUUAUGCUAAACAGUCUUUUAUUCAAAAUCUCAGAUGUGGCUGGCUUAGAUGCUGAUUAUUCAACAUUCUCAUUAUUCACUAU
rnacentral:lncRNA from 1 species